AGUCGUAACAAGGUUUCCGUAGGUGAACCUGCGGAAGGAUCAUUAACACAUUGUCCAUUUGAUGGUUGUGAGGUUCUCAUAUUAAAAAGGAUUCAUCCUUUGAGAUUUAGACCUCCAAUCAUUCAAACCUCUUAGUAAACUUGUUGAAGUCCUCAACAACAAUAUUAAAAACAUUGUUUCAUGAGUGUAUUUCAAAGAGUGAUAUCAAGAUCAAUGGUCUCUUUCGAGAUCAUUAGACUGAUGUUUACAUAUAAAACAUAAAAACCAAGACAACUUGUAACAGUGGAUACCUUGGUUCCCAG
rnacentral:misc_RNA from 1 species